rnacentral:rRNA from 1 species
GCUCAGGAUGAACGCUAGCUACAGGCUUAACACAUGCAAGUCGAGGGGCAGCAUGGGGUUUGCUUGCAAACCCUGAUGGCGACCGGCGCACGGGUGAGUAACGCGUAUCCAACCUUCCCCUUAGUAGGGCAUAGCCCGGUGAAAAUCGGAUUAAUACCCUAUAUUCUUCACAGCGGACAUCUAACGUGAAGCAAAGAUUCAUCGCUAAGGGAUGGGGAUGCGUCUGAUUAGGUAGUCGGCGGGGUAACGGCCCACCGAGCCAUCGAUCAGUAGGGGUUCUGAGAGGAAGGUCCCCCACAUUGGAACUGAGACACGGUCCAAAACUCCUACGGGAGGCAGCAGUGAGGAAUAUUGGUCAAUGGGCGAGAGCCUGAACCAGCCAAGUAGCGUGCAGGACGACGGCCCUAUGGGUUGUAAACUGCUUUUAUGCGGGGAUAAAGUUCACUACGUGUAGUGUUUUGUAGGUACCGCAUGAAUAAGGACCGGCUAAUUCCGUGCCAGCAGCCGCGGUAAUACGGAAGGUCCGGGCGUUAUCCGGAUUUAUUGGGUUUAAAGGGAGCGCAGGCCGGAGGUCAAGCGUGACGUGAAAUGUAGCCGCUCAACGGCUGAACUGCGUCGCGAACUGGCUUUCUUGAGUGAGUUCGAUGUGGGCGGAAUUCGUGGUGUAGCGGUGAAAUGCUUAGAUAUCACGAAGAACUCCGAUUGCGAAGGCAGCCCACAAGGCCUUUACUGACGCUAAAGCUCGAAGGUGCGGGUAUCGAACAGGAUUAGAUACCCUGGUAGUCCGCACGGUAAACGAUGGAUGCUCGCUGUCGGCGAUACAGUGUCGGCGGCCUAGUGAAAGCAUUAAGCAUCCCACCUGGGGAGUACGCCGGCAACGGUGAAACUCAAAGGAAUUGACGGGGGCCCGCACAAGCGGAGGAACAUGUGGUUUAAUUCGAUGAUACGCGAGGAACCUUACCCGGGCUUGAAUUGCAGGUUUUGGAUCAGAGAUGGUCCUUUCCCUUCGGGGUUCCUGUGAAGGUGCUGCAUGGUUGUCGUCAGCUCGUGCCGUGAGGUGUCGGCUUAAGUGCCAUAACGAGCGCAACCCCUUUCGUCAGUUGCCAUCAGGUUAAGCUGGGCACUCUGGCGACACUGCCACCGCAAGGUGUGAGGAAGGUGGGGAUGACGUCAAAUCAGCACGGCCCUUACGUCCGGGGCGACACACGUGUUACAAUGGUGGGUACAGAGGGCAGCUACCUGGUGACAGGAUGCAAAUCUCGAAAACCCAUCUCAGUUCGGAUCGGAGUCUGCAACUCGACUCCGUGAAGUUGGAUUCGCUAGUAAUCGCGCAUCAGCCAUGGCGCGGUGAAUACGUUCCCGGGCCUUGUACACACCGCCCGUCAAG